rnacentral:rRNA from 1 species
GACGAACGCUGGCGGCGUGCCUAAUACAUGCCAGUAGAACGCUGAAGGAGGAGCUUGCUUCUCUGGAUGAGUUGCGAACGGGUGAGUAACGCGUAGGUAACCUGCCUGGUAGCGGGGGAUAACUAUUGGAAACGAUAGCUAAUACCGCAUAAUAUUGACUAUUGCAUGAUAGUCAGUUGAAAGGUGCAACUGCACCACUACCAGAUGGACCUGCGUUGUAUUAGCUAGUUGGUGGGGUAACGGCUCACCAAGGCGACGAUACAUAGCCGACCUGAGAGGGGGAUCGGCCGCACUGGGAGUGAGACACGGCCCAGACGCCUACGGGAGGCAGCAGUAGGGAAUCUUCGGCAAUGGACGGAAGUCUGACCGAGCAACGCCGCGGGAGGGAAGAAGGAUGUCGGGUCGUAAAGCUCUGUUGUAAGAGAAGAACGAGUGUGGGAGUGGAAAGCUCACACUGUGACGGUAUCUUACCAGAAAGGGACGGCUAACUACGUG